rnacentral:rRNA from 1 species
UGGGGAAUCUUGGACAAUGGGCGCAAGCCUGAUCCAGCCAUGCCGCGUGGAUGAUGAAGGCCUUAGGGUUGUAAAAUCCUUUCGCCGAGGACGAUAAUGACGGUACUCGGAGAAGAAGCUCCGGCUAACUUCGUGCCAGCAGCCGCGGUAAUACGUAGGGACCAAGCGUUGUUCGGAUUUACUGGGCGUAAAGGGCGCGUAGGCGGUGUGUCAAGUCAGUUGUGAAAUCUCCGAGCUUAACUCGGAACGGUCAACUGAUACUGUCACACUAGAGUACAGAAGGGGCAAUCGGAAUUCUUGGUGUAGCGGUGAAAUGCGUAGAUAUCAAGAGGAACACCUGAGGCGAAGGCGGGUUGCUGGGCUGAUACUGACGCUGAGGCGCGAAAGCUAGGGUAGCAAACGGGAUUAGAUACCCCAGUAGUCCCUGAGCGGGCUGGCAAGGCGCAU